rnacentral:rRNA from 1 species
GACGGAGGAUGCAAGUGUUAUCCGGAAUCACUGGGCGUAAAGCGUCUGUAGGUGGUCAAAUAAGUCAACUGUUAAAUCUUGAGGCUCAACCUCAAAAUCGCAGUCGAAACUAUUAGACUAGAGUAUAGUAGGGGUAAAGGGAAUUUCCAGUGGAGCGGUGAAAUGCGCAGAUAUCGGGAAGAACACCCGUGGCGAAGGCGGCUCUCUGGGACGGUACUGACGCUGAGACGCGAAAGCGUGGGGAGCGAACAGG